rnacentral:rRNA from 1 species
CUUUCGGGCGGGAGCGACCGGCGCACGGGUGAGUAACGCGUAUGCAACCUUCCUUUAACUGGGGAAUAGCCCGGAGAAAUUCGGAUUAAUACCCCAUAAUAUUCCGGAAACGCAUGUUUUCGGAAUUAAAGCUCCGGCGGUUAAAGAUGGGCAUGCGUACCAUUAGUUUGUUGGCGAGGUAACAGCUCACCAAGACUACGAUGGUUAGGGGGUCUGAGAGGAUGAUCCCCCACACUGGUACUGAGACACGGACCAG